CUUAAAAGCUUUAUUUACAUAUGCUGAACACAGCCAGUAAGCAACAGUAACAUGUUGAACCAUUACUGAGCAAAAGAAGGCAGAAAAACAGCAGAAAAGUGUAGUGGAAGGCCCUGGCAUGUACCACUGUACACAUUUGAUAUUUGAGUAUGUAUGCAUCACAGUUCCAUAUGCGUCUACUGUUGAGCAAGCAACCAAUAUAUGAGUUUUGUACCACUGUACUGUUUUAGUUCCAAGUAAAUAACACUGAAACAAGUUAAAAACACAGACUGAGGGGGCUUUCAGUAGUUUACAAAAGUGUGAAUAAUUUUGAAGGCAUUAAUGGCAAUCAUGUGUCUCCUAAUGUAACAGUUUUAACACUCAGGAGUUCUGCUCUAGGAUGUUACUGUUCAAUUCAAAGUUCAGUGACCACUGUUCAGUGGUCAAACUUCUGGUCUGUUCCAGACAACCUUUUUACAGUGGCAGAAAAAGGAACUGCAUGAGGCCACACAAACAUUUCUUCCCUAUUUCAGAGGAUUUUAUGACUUUCAGACACAAAAUUUAUCAUAGUAUUAUUAUAUGUUGGGAAAAUUAAUCAGUUUUUCUGUUUAUCACUGUGGUUUAUCCAAUGGCCUAAUUAGCUGUGAGAACUGGGUCUCUAAUCCCUUGUCUGGCUCUGACCUUGAGUGACUUUGGGCAAAAAAAAAUUAUUUCUCAGCUUGCUUUUAUCCAUCAGGAAGAUACUAAUGUUGAAUUUUUCUCCUCAUGGCUUUAAAGGAAGUCUCACUUAUGAAUUCUUCUGGUGAACGGGAGAGAAAGAGUAAGAAAGCCAAUUAUAGCAGGCUCCUUCCUUAGAGGCAGAAAGAUUCAUCCACAACAAAACCUUAUAAACCUAACUAAAAUAUUUAUCUCUCCUUCUGCCUGUGGAAUAACAGCAUGUGGGUUUGAUAAACAGUAUUGUUUAAAACCAGGACAGUAUAGGUUAUUUAUCACGAUAAUGCUAAGAAAAUAAUAUUUUCUACUGGUGGCCAUGACCUUGAAAAGGACAUUCAAAUUCUGUUAUGUACCUCUUUGUACAUACAGAUAGAGUUGCCACGUACUAAUCACUGAGAGCCUAGUUAUCUUACAUUUGCAGUAUUUGAAGAGACAAUCAGCAAAACUCCUUCUGAAGGAUAUAAAACAGGUGCUGCAUAUAAUGCUGCAUGUACAGGCAUAUUCUAACACAAUUCCAAAAGAACCAAGACUUUCAUCUAUAUUGUGUCUUUGGGUAUAGAUACAGACCUUAAGGCAAGAAAACAGGAAAUAACAGGAUUACAGUUUUAAUUUUGGACUUCAAGUCUACAAAGAUGGAGAAUGCACCACAGAAGAGGCACCAUGUGCACACAAGGGAUAUCUGAGUAACACUUAACAGAGGAAAGUUUAUUGAACUGGUUUUUAACUGAAGUGCGGAGAAACAAAAUUAUCAGAUCAAGGACUUCUAAGAUUAAGCACAGAAUCUUCCAGGUCCCACUGAAAUACUUGGCAUGCAGUCUGUAUUUUGUCAGACGCAUGGGGAGAAGCUCAUGUGGGAGGUCACUCUUUUGUAGUAGGAUAAAACCAAGCGCAGCCAACACAGCAUUGUUGUGCUCAGAGCGAAGAAAGUUAUCUUCAGGAAAAGUCACAGUCUCUCACAGAAAUUAAGUAUCUCUAGCCAGCCCAGUUACUAGCUUGCUCUUCUAGGAACUGAAAGAGAGCAACUGGUGGUCUGUAUUUUGCAUCAGGGCGAAACAAUUGCCAUUUGCAUUUAAAAUUGUUGGUGACAAAAUAAAGUAGUGCAAAACAUCUUACUCACUGCUCCAGUCUGUGCACUGUUGCUGUGAAAUGUUGGCAGGAUAGGCACAGCUUUGUCACCAGAACUAAACUGGUGGCAAACACUCUGAGACAUGCUUUCAUAGUUUGGUAGUGAAUAUUAUGACAGCUGAAAGGUGCCCCUCAGGUUCUUGUCAUCUGUGGUGUACUUCUUGCAACCUUUUUGCAUGGUUAUUGACUGUCUGCCUGCUCUCAUAAGAAGUCAUUGGCUCCCAUCAAAAUGGUUCUCAAAAUGAUCUCCAUUUUCCCCUACAGCUUAUCUAACUCACAGGUAUUGUUUGCUGUCACUGAAAAUGCCCACAACACGCUGGAACUUUAGACUUUUAGACCCAGGUUAUCGUCUCAGUAGGCACUGUUUAUGAAACUGCAUGCAGCUAAAGGAAAGCUGGAAGUGAACCAGGUGGUGAGAAACCAGGAACACCUUUGUACCAGGAACAGAGUGCACAUGCAUGUAAGGUAUCAAGGCUGUAAAAGGCAUGGCAGUGAAGCAUGGGAGUGAGGUGGUGCCAGGAAUGAGGUCGGCACUUCCUCCUUUCAACACCUUCUGGUUCACUUUUUCCUUUCCCAGCACCUUGAUACUUAAGCUGCACUGGUGUGGGCCCUCAUGGCCUUUGAAACAGGCUGAGAAGAUAUUUCACCAACAUAAAUGCUUAAGAGUUGUUGGGCUGAGACAGCCAUAUGGGAGCUGUGGUGUAAGAAAGUAGAGAAGAUAGAGGUGUUGGAUUGGCAAAGGGAAAAGAUGAAGGAAUGCCACUGAGCACGGUAGAUGUAAAACUUGGAGAAAAUUAAAGCAGGUGGGAGAAGGUAAAAAAGAUGUGUUGCAUCCAUGCUAUUAUCAUGGAUGGAAUUUAGGGAAAGGCCAGGAAGCCACAGUAAUAAAGGCAGAAACAAAAUGCAUUAUAUAUGUGUCCUGUGCAUCUGAACCAGGGAAGAAACAUGACCCUGUUGCAGGUCUUUCACUCAUUUCAAGUUUGGCCUGCUUCCAUGAAGUGGCAGGAAACCAACAAUGACAGGACAAAAAGUCCUCGUGGUGUGGACAAACUCCACUUGUCUGGAGUACAGGGCCUUGAGGAGAAGCCACAGGAGAAAGUGGCUGAGGUCCUUUGAUCUGUUCUUCCUGGACAAGACUGAAGGGAGACCUCAUUGCAGUCUACAACUUCCUCGAGGGGAAGAGGAGGGGCAGACACUGAUCUCUUUAUCUGUGACGACCAGUGACAAGAGCCGAAGGCACAGCAUGAAGUUUUGUCAGAGGAGGUUAGGCUGGACAUUAAAGAGAGGUCCUUCACCCAGAGAGUGGCUGGGCACUGGAGCAGGCUCUUCAGGAAAGUGAUCACCGCACUAAGCCUGAAGGAAUUCAAGAAGCAUUGGAAAACACUCUCAGGCAUAUGGUUUCAUUUAUGGGCUUGGUCUUAUUUGAUUUCACGACCUCUGUGACUCUCUUCCAAGUCAACCUAUUCUGUGGUUCUGUGUAUUCUGUGAGUUGGACAACACACGGCACACCGUAGGCACCCUCUUUAGAGAGCUGGAGUUUAACUGAAGAACGCUUCGAGCUGUCCUCUGCAGGCCUGACACAGGCACAACACGGGGAAAAAAAAAAAAAAAACCAAAAAAAAAAAAA
rnacentral:lncRNA from 1 species